rnacentral:rRNA from 1 species
UUAGGAAUCUUCCACAAUGGGCGCAAGCCUGAUGGAGCGACACUGCGUGAAGGAUGAAGGUUUUCGGAUCGUAAACUUCUGAACGAGGGACGAAUAAUGACGGUACCUCGCUAAAAGCACCGGCUAACUCCGUGCCAGCAGCCGCGGUAAUACGGAGGGUCCAAGCGUUGUCCGAAAUUACUGGGUGUAAAGGGUGUGCAGGCGGAGCGGAAAGUCAGAGGUGAAAGCCCGCAGCUUAACUGCGGAAUGGCCUUUGAUACUACCGCUCUUGAGUCCCGGAGAAGCUGUCGGAAUUCGUGGUGUAGCGGUGAAAUGCGUAGAUAUCACGAGGAACACCAGAAGCGUAAGCGGACAGCUGGACGGUGACUGACGCUCAGGCACGAAAGCGUGGGGAGCAAACAGGAUUAGAUACCCCCGUAGUCC